UAUUAAAAAUAUCAUCUAAUUUUAUUGUUAAAAUUAGUGUGGUUAAUAAAAUAAUUAGACAGUAACAUAUAACGUAUCACAUGUACUUUAUACUUAUGUAUAAAAUCCAAAUUUUAAUAAUAAAAAUGGAUGAAAUGUUCAAUA
rnacentral:pre_miRNA from 1 species